rnacentral:lncRNA from 1 species
UGCAGCUGAUGACGAACGAUAAGUUUGUAAGUGUGGAGCAUAGGGUGCUUGCGAAUAGACAAGGUCCAAGGAUAUCAGUUGCAAGCUUUUUUAGCUCAAGUAAACGUGCCAAUUCCACAGUUUAUGGACCAAUGAAAGAGCUUGUGUCUGAAGAAAACCCUCCAAAAUACAGAGAUAUAACCAUAAAAGAAUACACAGAUGGAUACAAUGAGAAAGGUCUGGAUGGAACAUCACAUCUCUUGAAUUUCAGGAUAUGAAAACAAAACUACAGAAAAAGAAUUUUAAGGUGUUUCUUAGCAUGAAUUACUCUUUUCUUGGAUCUUCAAUAAUUAAACCAGUAGUGUACCAAAUUGCGUGUGUGCGUAUAUACGUACCAGACACUAUAUGUGGAUCUUUAUACGUUUGUCAUAUGUAUCAGUCUGUAUCUUUCUACUUUAGUCAUAUGUAUCAGAUUAUACAGAAGUGAAAUGCACUGCAUGUACUGAUCAUAAGAACUUCCACAUUUUACAUUACAUAAAAAAUGUCUAAUGUUCAUUCAAGUUCAUUUUUUAUUUUUUUGCUCUUUUUUUCUUGAUGGGGUAAAUCAAAGAAAUUAAAAAUAAUGCUUGCUGAUUGGAGUUCCUCAGAGAUUUUUGUAUUUUUUUUUGGUAAAAGAUAUUUUUGUAUUUUACAACAUAUAUAUUGUUUUAUCGUAAAUUCGUCAAAAAGAUUCAUGACGGAUGGUAGUUGUCGGACAUAUAUUUAAUUUCUUAUUUAUCUUUAUAUGACAUACUUUUAUGUUUCACAAAAACUAUCAUUCAUUUUUUUUAGUUUUAAAAAGAAUGUCAUUUUGUAUUUACAAUAUCACUUAUAUAUUUAAUCUCUUAUUCACCCUUUAAAAUAACCAAAAUAUUUGUAUAUAAAUUAUUUUUUCAUUUAAUUAAUUGUAUAUUAAAUAAUAGUAAAUAUUUUAUAAAUUUUGUACGUGUGUGAAAGAUACCAAAACGAUAUUUUUUGCGAAAUGAAAAUAGUAUAAAUUAUUGAUUAUAAAUCAAGUACGUAAUUUUUACAAUUUGUAAUAAAUCAUUAUUAAAAAAGUUUAACAUUAAUUACUAUUUUAUAUUAGUAAAUGCAUUUUUGUUAGAUGUAAAAAGGAAAAGUAUCUCCUAAAUUUCAGCACUUGAGUUUCAGUAAUUAAAGGUGAAUCUAGGGCUAUUUGCAUUAUUAGGUGAUUAGACCUUAGCAUAAAACAAAAGUGGAGAAGAAAAAUUCAAUUACAACUUGUAGUCUGACAAAGCCAGUAAUGUGUCGAGAGCAAGACAAGAUACCUAGACACAUUCGGUCCACACACAAUGAUCAAACUCAUCCGUUGAUUCCGUUCUCAAUCUUUCCUCUUUUAAUCUCAUUAUCUCCAAGCAAACAUCUUGUGGGAAAAAAACAAGAUGAUAACGAACGAUCGGUUUGUAAGUGUGGAUAGGGACGAAGCCAGAAAUUUUUUUAUAAUAGGUACACAAAUAUUAAAUAAAAUAUUAAACAAAACAUUAAAUAAACUAUUUUAGAUAUAUAUUAAAAAUAUUUUGUUUUCAAUAAAAAUGAAUAAUCAUUUAAAAAUAAUAUUUCAUUCAAUUUCGUAAAGUUGUUUCUACUAUUUCUACUGCAGAAAAAUAUUUUUCAAUACUUAUCGUUGCAACUUGUAAAGUCAAAAUCAACUUGAAAAAUCUAUAAACUAAAAAUAAAAAUUAUUAAGUAAUAAACUAUUUUUUUCAUCGUCGAGAUAAAUCUAAUUAAAACUGAAAACGUAACAUAAUUCAAAUAUGAAAUCUACCAAAAAUAUGACUAAUGAAACGUAAAUAAAUUACAAACAUGUAAAACCUCCAAACAUCAACUGUAGUCAAAGAGUAAAGCCACUUCUAUGACUUUUGAACUUUUACUACUGAAUAAAAAACUUAGAUGAUAUCUAAAUUAAUAAUUACAAAUCGUAGACAUUGUUAGAACAACUCAAAACAUUAACAUAAAGAUUAUUAAAUUAGUUACCAGUUUUGUAUGGUAGACAAUACAAUAAAACUUUGUUAAUUUGAUUUGAUGGUUUGCACUUGCAUGUUUAAGAAGAAAAGUUUAAGCGAUUAAAUUUUUUGAGCGAAUUGUUAGGAUUUUAACAAAAAAAAAUAGAGAAUACAAUUGGGCUUUAAAGACAAUUUUAAUUUUUGAUGGGGUAAAUUAUUUUUAAUUUUUUCAUUUGGGCUUAAUGUAAAUUUUAGUGGGUGCAAUAUCAUGAAUUAUAGUGAGUGCACAUUUAAAAUUCCUUAACAAUUACAUUAAUUUUUAAAAAAAUCAUGGGUGCAUGUGCACCCCUUCCCUCCUGAGUGUGGAGCAUAGGGUGCUUGCGAAUAGACAAGGACCAAGGAUUUCAGUUGCAAGCUUUUUUAGCUCAAGUAAACAUGCCAAUUCCACAGUUUAUGGACCAAUGAAAGAGCUUGUGUCCGAAGAAAACCCUCCAAAAUACAGAGACAUAACCAUAAAAGAAUACACAGAUGGAUAUUUUGAGAAAGGUCUGGAUGGAACAUCGCAUCUCUUGAAUUUCAGGAUAUGAAAACAAAACUACAGAAAAGUGUUUCUUAGCACCAGUUACUCUUUUCUUGGAUC